GAUGAACGCUGGCGGCGUGCUUAACACAUGCAAGUCGAACGAAGCACAUAGGAACGAAUCUUCGGAUGAAGUCUUAUGUGACUUAGUGGCGGACGGGUGAGUAACGCGUGGGUAACUGACCUCACACAGGGGGAUAACAGUUGGAAACGGCUGCUAAUACCGCAUAACCCGCUAGUACCGCAUGGUACAGACGGAAAAGAUUUAUCGGUGUGAGACAGACCCGCGUCUGAUUAGGCAGUUGGCAGGGUAACGGCCUACCAAACCGACGAUCAGUAGCCGGCCUGAGAGGGUGGACGGCCACAUUGGGACUGAGACACGGCCCAA
rnacentral:rRNA from 1 species